rnacentral:rRNA from 1 species
UUAGAGGAAGUAAAAGUCGUAACAAGGUUUCCGUAGGUGAACCUGCGGAAGGAUCAUUAUUGAAAUUAUAGGUGAGGGUUGUAGCUGGCCUCUCGGGGCAUGUGCACGCCCGAGCCCUUAAUCCACACACACCUGUGAACCUAUUGUAAGGGCCCUUAAAAAAGGCCUUUACGUCUUAUCAUCAACCCAUCGUAUGUCUCAUAGAAUGUAAAUAUAUGUCCCCGCCUUAAAAAGCGUUGAUAAACUUAUACAACUUUCAACAACGGAUCUCUUGGCUCUCGCAUCGAUGAAGAACGCAGCGAAAUGCGAUAAGUAAUGUGAAUUGCAGAUUUUCAGUGAAUCAUCGAAUCUUUGAACGCACCUUGCGCUCCUUGGUAUUCCGAGGAGCAUGCCUGUUUGAGUGUCAUUAAAUUCUCAACUCUGAUCGAUUUGUUUCGACUUCGGAGCUUGGAUUUGGAGCGUGCUGGCGUCGGUCGGCUCCUCUUAAAUGCAUCAGCGGAAUCUAACGUUUCGGACGUCAGUGUGAUAAUCAUGUUGCGCUGUCUGUCUGAUCUGAAAGCCCGCUCACAAUGGUCUUCGGACAACUUCAUAUCAAAUUUGACCUCAAAUCAGGUAGGACUACCCGCUGAACUUAAGCAUAUCAAUA